rnacentral:lncRNA from 12 species
GGCCUGGUCCUGCACCGCUGCUCCGUGACGCCGUCCUCCCGCCCGGCCCCGGGGCCCGCCCUGCCGCUGCUGCGCGGGGGCUGCCCCGCCGACUCCUCGGUCGUCCUCCCGCCGCCGCCGCCGCCGCCGCCGCGCCCGGGCGCCGCCCGCCCCGUGCGCUUCAGCUUCCGCCUGCGCCCGGUCUUCAACGCCUCGGUGCAGUUCCUGCACUGCCAGCUGAGCCGCUGCCGCCGCCUCCGGGGAGCCCGCCGGACGCCCGCGCCUCUGACGCUGCCGCCGCCUUCGCUGGGCCACCCAAGGGCGUCCCCGGCCGAGCCGUGCGCCCCGAGCCUCCCGCCCAGGCCCCGGCGGCCCUGGAGCCCGCGCCCGUGGUGGCGCUGGUGUUGGCCGCCUUCGUGCUGGGCGCUGCGCUGGCCGCCGGGCUCGGCCUCGUCUGCGCGCGUUCAGGUACCAACCUCGGGCCCGCCGGGACUUCCGCGCGGCCCCCGGCCCGUUCCCGCGCGUCCGGGACCCCGGGUCGCCGCGACCCAGCCGGCGGGGCCUGGCCACGCGUAGAGCUGCCGGCGCCAAGCCCGGGGGGGCCCCCAGGGGGCGCCUUUGGCCGGGCCGGAGCGGGGCACCCUUACGGUUCGGAAGCCCGCCGGCUUUUCUUUUCAAGGGCCCCAAGCCCCGGGCCGGGCCCGGAGGGAUUCGCCAAGGGGCCCCCAGCCCGGGAGGCCCCAGUGAGCAGGUAAAUGGUGCCGGGGGGGGGGGGGGUAGGACAGCUGGAAGAGGGACCUGAUGACAAUGACUUCAUCGGCUUUCCCUGUGCCAGGGCGUUUCAUGCCUAUUCAUUAAUUUGAUCCUCGUAACAGCUUUCAGGUAGAUGUGAUUAUAAUCCCCACAUUAGAAAUGAGAAACAUGAGGCACCCUCUGAAGUAACUUGGCAAAAGUCACAACAUUCAAAGAAAAAAAAAAAAACAGUCCCAACAUUCGGUGGAGCUGGAAUUCAAACUCGGGCACCGGGUCCCCCGCGGCCAACCUCGGGCUCUGUGCCACAGAGGGGUCCGCAGGCGUCGGACAGACACGGGCCGAGGAGAAUUCGCCGCUCAGCCCUAGC